AAAAAAUCGGGGCGAUCUAGGCGGGCGAACCUCGCCAACGAACGAUCGGACAUGGGAUAACGGAAGAGGGCGUCGGCUCGACUUCGUCGGUUCCUCGGGCCGAGGCACGUACGGUGAAUAGGGACGGUCGGGGCCGCCCGUACCGGGUCGUGAGAGGUGAAAUUCUAGGAUCGACCCGAGACGAACUGCCGCGAAAGCAUUCGGCAAGGACGCUUUCAUUAAUCAAGAACGAAAGUCGGGGGAUCGAAGACGAUCAGAUACCGUCGUAGUCCCGACCGUAAACGAUGCCGACCGAGGGCCCGGAGGAGUUACGUACGACCCUCCGGGCCCUCCCGCGAGAAAUCAGGAGUAUUCGAGUUCCGCGCCGCAGCUAACGCAUUAAGCGCCCCGCCUGGGGAGUACGGCCGCAAGGCUAAAACUCAAAGGAAUUGACGGGGGGCCCGCACAAGCGGCGGAGCAUGCGGAUUAAUUCGAUGCAACGCGAAGAACCUUACCAAGGCUUGACAUACGCAGUAAUCCGGC
rnacentral:rRNA from 1 species